GCAGAACGCGAAGAACCUUACCUGGGCUUGAAAGUUAGUGACCGCUCCUGAAAGGGAGCUUCCCGCAAGGGCACGAAACUAGGUGCUGCAUGGCUGUCGUCAGCUCGUGCCGUGAGGUGUCGGAUUAAGUUCCAUAACGAGCGCAACCCCUAUCUUUAGUUGCCAGCGGGUAAUGCCGGGGACUCUAAAGAAACUGCCCGUGUAAGCGGUGAGGAAGGUGGGGAUGACGUCAAGUCAUCACGGCCCUUACGUCCAGGGCGACACACGUGCUACAAUGGUAGGGACAGUGAGUUGCAAACCGGCAACGGUGAGCUAAUCUAUAAACCCUAUCUCAGUUCGGAUCGAGGUCUGCAACCCGACCUCGUGAAGCUGGAAUCGCUAGUAAUCGGAUAUCAGCCAUGAUCCGGUGAAUACGUUCCCGGGUCUUGUACACACCG
rnacentral:rRNA from 1 species